rnacentral:lncRNA from 1 species
ACUACAAUAUAAUCCUAGAGCGUGAGAUGCUUGGUGAGUGCAUUCAGAGUUUUAAAGAAAGAUAUAAGUUAGAGGUCAGUACUUUUUGUGUACACUAUUUUAUGUUUUAUUUUCAAUGUUUAGAUAUAAUUUAAAGAAGUUGGACGCUAUAACGAUUUGAACUAUUCAGGAAAUUCUGUGUGUAUAUUCAUUAAAUUUUGAGUAAUGUUGAUGUGUAACUGUUUAUUUAUUAUAGUCUAAAGCGCAAUGGAAACUUUAAGUCUCUGACCAAAAAUAGGCAGAAGAAAACUGAGCUAAUUUUCCCGUAUAUUUCAACAAAUUUUCUCUUCCUCUGACAUCUCAUAACUUACAUUUAUCGCAUAGAGAGUUUUGACUUAAUAACUAAAGUUCCGGGUUGUGCAUUGCAACAAAAUCUGUGUAACCGAACGCUUCAGAUUUUUAUGGGGAGGGUGUGUGGAGUGGACGCUUAAUCUUUUUGGAUAAAAAUAAAACCUAACGUGAGGUGACCUUAAGGAGGUCACAAGCAGUGUUGAUGUCUUACAUGUCAAAUAUGAAACGUGAUAGUGUGUGUAAUUACAUAUCUGUGGUGAUGAAAAAAUAAUUUGUGAAGGUUCAAAAUCAACAACAUAAAUCAGCAGAAGUGCUUUUCUUCAUCUCAAGCUUCUUCGAUUUCCAACUUUCGCUUUUGGAAAUUCGGGUGGCAGUGAAUGUAUCGUUUCCUGUAUUAAUAAGGAACAAAGAUUUUGCAGCAGCGUGACACUCAUUCAUUUAGUUUCACAUGUUUCUAUGAGAGAAAAAAAAAAUAAUGCAAAAACUGCGUCCCCCUGGGUUAUUCCUGUGAAUUGACUCGUCAAAACUUCUGCUGACAGCGUCACAUCCAGCGCGUUAGAAAUUGAGUCAAUAUUUUGAGACAUGACGGAUCCGAAAGAUGUUUAUUAAAUGGCCUUUGCGCAUGGGGUUCACGAGGCUCACAGCUGUAGCCUUCAGAGGCAUCACAGCACCAGCGUAAUGCAAAACUUUUGAAGUGCUAUUUCUGGUCCAAGUUGGGCAUGCACUCACUCUGUGAGCCGAGAAAAGCUGUUGCAGUUGUGUGAAAUCCUACAACAAAAAGAAAAAUGCAGAAUAUUGUAGAGAAGUCUCGUAAAAAUGCCGCUGUAGCUGCUUUAGCUAAGUGGCUCUCACUAUAAAUUUUAAAAAGUUCCUGUAGCGGUUUGAAAUUCUACAUUUAUGGCCUCAGCAUAUUCAUCACUGAACAGCCAGCGGCGUUUUUAAUCAGAGCCCAUUUUUACAUUUACACAUUAAAUUUUAUGCUGGAGGCAUUUUUACGCACCUAAACUUUGAGUGUACUCGUGUGCAAUUCCAAGAACUUUCUGUGGCACCAGAUUCCCCUCUAACAUGUUGCCAAUCCAAUUUUAUAACCCAGAUAUUUUUUUAAUGAUAUGCCAUUCUUACCGUCAUCCACCUGUUGAAAUAUCCCUCCACAUUUUGCCAAGCAAAGUGGCGAACUAUCCAAAACUCCCCUUGCUAACUUGAGAACACCAAAAACUUCUCCUCUUAGCCUGGUCUCAUAAGACUGACUUGGAGAAAACCUUGUGUGAAAACUAGCCUGGUAGCCAAGAAGAUAUUUUAAUGGUUUGUAUGGCACGUCUGUGCAUGUGGCUUUGAACUCUAGCAGCCGGAGGUUCCUGCAGAGAGCGCCGCAAAUCCCACUUGAUAACUUCGACAACCCACAACGUUUUGCACACAAGGCUAUGCACUACUGACCUGCAAACAAUAAAGAAUAAAAAUGAGUGAGAAGCACGAGCAGAGCAGAGUCCUGAUGAAUACAUUAGGCGUACUGAUGGAUCCAAGUUUGAAACUGGCCUAUUUAUUAAAGGUAAACCUCGUGAACGUGGACUGCUGCUGGUGUGCAUGAUGAUGUGGAAAUCUAAAGCACAGAUGUUGCACUGGUGUGGGCAGAAACAUUGUGUUCAAGGAAGACACGCAGAGCAGCAAAACACGCUGAGUGCAAAAACAAAAUGUUGUGUGGAUUUCUUUAUAAGUUAAUAAAAAAGACCUUUAAAAUGGAGUGAUGACAUUCUGCAGAGUUUAUUUCAAACAUGAGGGUUUCCAGUGACGGGGCUCUGAGAAAAGAAACGUCAAAGUUGGCUCUACCUGCACCUCAGACUAACCUGACGUGCAUAAAGAGGGGUCACGUUUGAGUGUUUAAAGGUUUGUUGUGCUAUAAUCCUGUGUAAUAUAUUUUUGCCCAACAUUAAUUUUUCCUUUGAAAGUGUCUUUUUAAUCUUGAAAACAUGGCCUUUCAGCACUUUAGGGUGGGAAACAGAUCAAACAGACAGACAAGAUACCAUGUCUGACUUUUUAAUCACACAUAAGGUUGCCAAUCGAACCAACAAAAAUGUCUUCACAGUGAUACUAUGUGCCCAGGCUAACAAAGACAAUCUGACACAUUUGCUUCCCAUUACUGCAGUAUGUGGCUGCAAAACGUGCUUCGACUCUCUACGAGACCCGCUUCUUGUUUUCUCUUCCUCAACUUUUUUUGUUUUGCUGUUAUUCAGCCUUUUAACC